rnacentral:rRNA from 1 species
UGGGGAAUCUUGGACAAUGGGGGCAACCCUGAUCCAGCGACGCCGCGUGGGUGAUGAAGGCCUUAGGGUUGUAAACCCCUUUCACCGGGGAGGAUGAUGACGUUACCCGGAGAAGAAGCACCGGCUAACUCCGUGCCAGCAGCCGCGGUAAGACGGAGGGUGCUAGCGUUGUUCGGAAUCACUGGGCGUAAAGGGCGCGUAGGCGGCUUCAUUAGUCAGAUGUGAAAGCCCGGAGCUCAACUCCGGAAUUGCAUUUGAUACUGUGAAGCUUGAGGACGAAAGAGGAGAGUGGAAUACCCAGUGUAGAGGUGAAAUUCGUAGAUAUUGGGUGGAACACCAGUGGCGAAAGCGGCUCUCUGGUUCGAUUCUGACGCUGAGGCGCGAAAGCGUGGGGAGCAAACAGGAUUAGAUACCCCCGUAGUCC